rnacentral:rRNA from 1 species
AGGACGACCAUAAAGAAGCCGUCGAGAGAUAUCGGAAGAGUUUUCUUUUCUGUUUUAUAGCCGUACUACCAUGGAAGUCUUUCGCAGAGAGAUAUGGUAGAUGGGCUAGAAGAGCAUGACAUAUACUGUUGUGUCGAUAUUUUCUCCUCGGACCUUGAAAAUUUAUGGUGGGGACACGCAAACUUCUCAACAGGCCGUACCAAUAUCCGCAGCUGGUCUCCAAGGUGAAGAGUCUCUAGUCGAUAGAAUAAUGUAGGUAAGGGAAGUCGGCAAAUUAGAUCCGUAACUUCGGGAUAAGGAUUGGCUCUGAAGAUUGAGAUAGUCGGGCUUGAUUGGGAAACAAUAACAUGGUUUAUGUGCUCGUUCUGGGUAAAUAGAGUUUCUAGCAUUUAUGUUAGUUACUUGUUCCCCGGAUAGUUUAGUUACGUAGCCAAUUGUGGAACUUUCUUGCUAAAAUUUUUAAGAAUACUAUUUGGGUUAAACCAAUUAGUUCUUAUCAAUUAUAACGAUUAUCAAUUAACAAUCAAUUCAGAACUGGCACGGACUUGGGGAAUCCGACUGUCUAAUUAAAACAAAGCAUUGUGAUGGCCCUAGCGGGUGUUGACACAAUGUGAUUUCUGCCCAGUGCUCUGAAUGUCAAAGUGAAGAAAUUCAAGUAAGCGCGGGUCAACGGCGGGAGUAACUAUGACUCUCUUAAGGUAGCCAAAUGCCUCGUCAUCUAAUUAGUGACGCGCAUGAAUGGAUUAAACGAGAUUCCUACUGUCCCUAUCUACUAUCUAGCGAAACCACAGCCAAGGGAACGGGCUUGGAAUAAUUAGCGGAGAAAGAAGACCCUUUUGAGCUUGACUCUAAUCUGGCAGUGUAAGGAGACAUAAGAGGUGUAGAAUAAGUGGGAGAUAUUAGACCUCGGUUUGGUAUCGUCAAUGAAAUACCACUACUCUUAUUGUUUCCUUACUUACUUGAUUAAAUGGAACGUGUAUCAUUUCCUAGCCAUUAUACGGAUAUAUUUAUUAUAUCUUAUGGUAUUGGGUUUUGAUGCAAGCUUCUUGAUCAAAGUAUCACGAGUUUGUUAUAUAAUCGCAAACAAAUUCUUUAAUAAAACGAUGCAUUUAUGUAUUUUUGAUUUGAAAAUUUGGUAUAACUCCAAUUACUCAGGUAUGAUCCAAUUCAAGGACAUUGCCAGGUAGGGAGUUUGACUGGGGCGGUACAUCUCUCAAAUAAUAACGGAGGUGUCCCAAGGCCAGCUCAGUGCGGACAGAAACCACACAUAGAGCAAAAGGGCAAAUGCUGACUUGAUCUCGGUGUUCAGUACACACAGGGACAGCAAAAGCUCGGCCUAUCGAUCCUUUUGGUUUAAAGAGUUUUUAACAAGAGGUGUCAGAAAAGUUACCAUAGGGAUAACUGGCUUGUGGCGGCCAAGCGUUCAUAGCGACGUCGCUUUUUGAUCCUUCGAUGUCGGCUCUUCCUAUCAUUGUGAAGCAAAAUUCACCAAGCGUUGGAUUGUUCACCCAUGCAAGGGAACGUGAGCUGGGUUUAGACCGUCGUGAGACAGGUUAGUUUUACCCUACUAAUGACAAAACGUUGUUGCGACAGCAUUCCUGCGUAGUACGAGAGGAACCGCAGGUACGGACCAAUGGCACAAUACUUGUUCGAGCGAACAGUGGUAUGACGCUACGUCCGUUGGAUUAUGCCUGAACGCCUCUAAGGUCGUAUCCGUGCUGGACUGCAAUGAUAAAUAAGGGGCAAUUUGCAUUGU